GAUGAACGCUGGCGGCGUGCCUAACACAUGCAAGUCGAGCGGUAUAUACUGGAACGAAACUUCGGUCUAGAGAAGGUAUAGAGAGCGGCGGACGGGUGAGUAACGCGUAGGCAACCUGCCCCAUACAGAGGGAUAGCCUCGGGAAACCGGGAUUAAAACCUCACAACACGAGAGUUUCACAUGUUACUUUCGUCAAAGAUUCAUCGGUAUGGGAUGGGCCUGCGUCUGAUUAGCUAGUUGGUGAGGUAACGGCUCACCAAGGCAACGAUCAGUAGCCGACCUGAGAGGGUAAUCGGCCACAUUGGAACUGAGACACGGUCCAAACUCCUACGGGAGGCAGCAGUGGGGAAUAUUGCACAAUGGGCGAAAGCCUGAUGCAGCAACGCCGCGUGAGCGAUGAAGGCCUUUGGGUCGUAAAGCUCUGUCCUUGGGGAAGAAAAAAAUGACGGUACCCUUGGAGGAAGCCCCGGCUAACUGCGUGCCAGCAGCCGCGGUAAUACGUAGGGGGCAAGCGUUAUCCGGAAUUAUUGGGCGUAAAGAGUGCGUAGGUGGUUAUGUAAGCGCAGGGUGAAAGGCAAUAGCUCAACUAUUGUAAGCCCUGCGAACUGCAUGACUUGAGAGCAGGAGAGGAAAGUGGAAUUCCUAGUGUAGCGGUGAAAUGCGUAGAUAUUAGGAGGAACACCAGUGGCGAAGGCGACUUUCUGGACUGUAACUGACACUGAGGCACGAAAGCGUGGGGAGCAAACAGGAUUAGAUACCCUGGUAGUCCACGCCGUAAACGAUGAGCACUAGGUGUCGGGGUCGCAAGACUUCGGUGCCGCAGUUAACGCAUUAAGUGCUCCGCCUGGGGAGUACGCACGCAAGUGUGAAACUCAAAGGAAUUGACGGGGACCCGCACAAGCAGCGGAGCAUGUGGUUUAAUUCGAAGCAACGCGAAGAACCUUACCAGGACUUGACAUCCCUCUGACAGUCCCUUAACCGGGAUCUCCUUCGGGCAGAGGUGACAGGUGGUGCAUGGUUGUCGUCAGCUCGUGUCGUGAGAUGUUGGGUUAAGUCCCGCAACGAGCGCAACCCUUGUCUUUAGUUGCCAUCAUUUAGUUGGGCACUCUAGAGAGACUGCCGAGGAUAACUCGGAGGAAGGUGGGGAUGACGUCAAAUCAUCAUGCCCCUUAUGUUCUGGGCUACACACGUGCUACAAUGGCUGGUACAAAGAGACGCAAGACGGUGACGUGGAGCAAAUCUCAAAAACCAGUCCCAGUUCGGAUUGUAGGCUGAAACUCGCCUACAUGAAGUUGGAGUUGCUAGUAAUCGUGGAUCAGAAUGCCACGGUGAAUGCGUUCCCGGGUCU
rnacentral:rRNA from 1 species